CCUACGGGAGGCAGCAGUGAGGAAUAUUGGUCAAUGGACGAGAGUCUGAACCAGCCAAGUAGCGUGAAGGAUGACUGCCCUAUGGGUUGUAAACUUCUUUUAUAUGGGAAUAAAAUGUUCCACGUGUGGGAUUUUGUAUGUACCAUAUGAAUAAGGAUCGGCUAACUCCGUGCCAGCAGCCGCGGUAAUACGGAGGAUCCGAGCGUUAUCCGGAUUUAUUGGGUUUAAAGGGAGCGAAGGUGGAUUGUUAAGUCAGUUGUGAAAGUUUGCGGCUCAACCGUAAAAUUGCAGUUGAAACUGGCAGUCUUGAGUACAGUAGAGGUGGGCGGAAUGCGUGGUGUAGCGGUGAAAUGCUUAGAUAUCACGAAGAACUCCGAUUGCGAAGGCAGUUCACUGGACUGCAACUGACACUGAGGCUCGAAAGUGUGGGUAUCAAACAGGAUUAGAUACCCGUGUAGUC
rnacentral:rRNA from 1 species